rnacentral:rRNA from 1 species
AUUGAACGCUGGCGGCAUGCUUUACACAUGCAAGUCGAACGGCAGCGCGGGCUUCGGCCUGGCGGCGAGUGGCGAACGGGUGAGUAAUGCAUCGGAACGUGCCCAGUAGUGGGGGAUAGCCCGGCGAAAGCCGGAUUAAUACCGCAUACGACCUGAGGGUGAAAGCGGGGGACCGAAAGGCCUCGCGCUAUUGGAGCGGCCGAUGUCGGAUUAGCUAGUUGGUGGGGUAAAGGCUUACCAAGGCGACGAUCCGUAGCUGGUCUGAGAGGACGACCAGCCACACUGGGACUGAGACACGGCCCAGACUCCUACGGGAGGCAGCAGUGGGGAAUUUUGGACAAUGGGGGCAACCCUGAUCCUGCCAUGCCGCGUGCGGGAAGAAGGCCUUCGGGUUGUAAACCGCUUUUGUUCGGGAAGAAAUCCUCUGGGCUAAUACCCCGGGGGGAUGACGGUACCGGAAGAAUAAGCACCGGCUAACUACGUGCCAGCAGCCGCGGUAAUACGUAGGGUGCGAGCGUUAAUCGGAAUUACUGGGCGUAAAGCGUGCGCAGGCGGUUGUGCAAGACAGAUGUGAAAUCCCCGGGCUUAACCUGGGAACUGCAUUUGUGACUGCACGGCUAGAGUGCGGCAGAGGGGAGUGGAAUUCCGCGUGUAGCAGUGAAAUGCGUAGAUAUGCGGAGGAACACCGAUGGCGAAGGCAGU